rnacentral:rRNA from 1 species
GACGAACCGUGCAAACGUUAUUCGGAAUCACUGGGCAUAAAGGGCGCGUAGGCGGCUUCAUAAGUCAGGGGUGAAAUCCGGCAGCUUAACUGUCGCAGUGCCUUUGAUACUGUGGAGCUCGAGGGAGGUAGGGGUCUGUGGAACUUCCGGUGGAGCGGUGAAAUGCGCAGAUAUCAGGAGGAACACCGAUGGCGAAGGCAGGUCUCUGGGCCACUACUGACGCUGAGAAGCGAAAGCAUGGGGAGCGAACAGG